AAAAUAAUGAUACCACCUUACUAAUAGUGUCGUCUAAAACUGGUGCCAGAAGACUCGGUAAGGCCAGAGACGCAAACGUUAAUCAUCUUAAAAAGGCGUAAAGGGUUAGUAGGCAACUCUGAAAACAAUUUAUUUUUAAUAUAGCCAAAAUAAAUGUGAAUAGGAGAUUGACUCUNAUAGAGGUUAUAAUAUGAGCAAUUCUUAGAGGGAUGGAAUCUCUAGAACCUAGGAGGAGGGCUCAGUGCGAAAGCNACUUUCCGCUAAAGAUUGACGCUGAGGAACGAAGGUUGGGAUCGGAAAUAGGAUUAGAUACCCCGGUACUCCCUUCAGCGAACGAUGAAUGGUAGUC
rnacentral:rRNA from 1 species